rnacentral:lncRNA from 1 species
GGACCGACUCGGGCCAUUUUCAAUGCUUGCCUACACCUCAAAUAAAGUGAGGAUUCGGAAAGAGCAGAAAAAGAAGGAACUGUAUCCGUGAGUCUGAGAUCAAAGGGAACCUGCUGGGGCAGAGAGAGAAAAAGAAGGAACUGUAUCCGUGAGUCUGAGAUCAAAGGGAACCUGCUGGGGCAGAGAGAGAUGCCCUGCUGGAAGCUCACUCUGGGUAGUGACAGAAGAUCCUCCUGCUUCUCAAGGUUCAGUUUAACCACUAGAUGACACCCCUCCUUCUCUCUCAGGAUCUGAAAACACAGAAUAUAUUCCAAACACCCCCUUUUUGAUCACACAGAAGGGCAUCCACUUAUGCUACAGAUCACAUGUUCAUCAGUAAGAGACAUGGCAGCGAGUUCCAUUUCAUCCACAUGGGUUCCAGUUGCUCUUGGAUUGCAGUUUGUCCUCGCUGUCCCCCAG